rnacentral:rRNA from 2 species
GUAUWCGGUCAUAGCUGUUUCCURMRRCGAACUCUGGUAUUGAUUGGUGCUUGCAUCAUGAUUUACAUUUGAGUGAGUGGCGAACUGGUGAGUAACACGUGGGAAACCUGCCCAGAAGCGGGGGAUAACACCUGGAAACAGAUGCUAAUACCGCAUAACAACUUGGACCGCAUGGUCCGAGUUUGAAAGAUGGCUUCGGCUAUCACUUUUGGAUGGYCCCGCGGCGUAUUAGCUAGAUGGUGGGGUAACGGCUCACCAUGGCRAUGAUACGUAGCCGACCUGAGAGGGUAAUCGGCCACAUUGGGACUGAGACACGGCCCAAACUCCUACGGGAGGCAGCAGUAGGGAAUCUUCCACAAUGGACGAAAGUCUGAUGGAGCAACGCCGCGUGAGUGAAGAAGGGUUUCGGCUCGUAAAACUCUGUUGUUAAAGAAGAACAUAUCUGAGAGUAACUGUUCAGGUAUUGACGGUAUUUAACCAGAAAGCCACGGCUAACUACGUGCCAGCMGCCGCGGUAAU